CUAAUCAGAAAUCUUCACUUUCAGGCGCGAUUGAAUCCGAGAUGAAGCUUGGCUCGUUCAACCGAAUCGAGGUUUCGCACAAACCCCCGUUGGAUCGUUGAGUCGAUGCCGGAUAAAUUUAUUUUAAGUGUCCUUCCGAUACCUCGAUUCACCAUGCUCGGUCGAAAGGAGUAAUAGCAACUGAGAGACUCGUCUGGCAAGUGUUCUCGUUUGUGGUAAGAAUUCUUCGUUUCUUUCUUUUCUCCUCUUUUCUUUUUUCUCUUUCUUUCUUUUUUUUCCAGUGACCCGACGCUGUGUCAGACGCGAUUGAAAAAAGAAAAAAAAAGGAAAAGAAGGUAGAGGCGCGAGAAGAAAGGGAUUUCCGGGCGCAUAUGAAAUGCACGAGUGACGGGAGGGGAGAAAAAACAUCCGUCACUUUUAUUUAUUUUCUAGAGAGGAAGGGAUCAAAGGCAGCGUGGCGCGACGCUAAUUAGUCCGCUGCAACGUGACGCUGGAAACAGCCACGUGCAAGUUUCGAAUGUACUCGUACGAAAGGAUACGCGAAAAUCUAAUUGCGGCCUGGAUCUGGAUGGCAAACAACUUUCCACGAUUUUCGAAUGGUAAUUUCUGGCCGGGAGGAUAUUUAAUCGCGUCGCGAUAUAUAAAUCUCGAGUUGUUUUAAUUUUGCUCACUUCGUUCACAGUUUUUUAAUCCCGUGAUCUCAUCCCGCGAAUAUGAGAACGCGUUUAACGCUAUCUUAUCAUCUCGGAGUGAUCGUAUAUAAAAUAUAAAUUACCAAGAGCUAAAAUUUACAGCUUUUUUUUUUCUUUUUCUUUUUUUGAUCCCUUACGACAAUAUAAAUUUCUCAGAAGCUUAGAAGAAGAGGAAACGAGAUCGAAGAAAUAAUGGAGCAAUCAGGGUGACGAAGGGCGAAACAAUCUGGAAUUUGUUACCCCCCCUCUCCCCCGAUAGAAUUCUUUCCUUUCUUGUUUUUCAAUCCAGCUACGACUGGACGUACCGGAAAUUACAGCAUGGCGCCCUUCGAUUUCUUCCAUCUCCGGUGGAGAUGUGGAGAGAGAGAGAGUCAAUGUGUGAGUUUACGAGUCCAGUCGCCGGGAUAAACCACGGUGCACAAUCUAAGGAAACGAUAAACGUGGACAUCGGGAUAUUUCUCAGGUUAAAUUCGAUCUUUCUUUCGUUCCUCUUUUAACGAUUUCGUUUUUCAACCGAUCAUUCCUUUUUCGCCGUCGUCCUCCUCCCUUUCUCGUCCUCUGUCUCUCUUUUUCUUCUUUCCAAACGACGUAUCCAAUCCUUCGAUAAAUCGUUGCAAAUUAUUUGUAACUAUAUUUAUUUUUCCAUCCUUUCUUUUUUUCUUUUUCUUCUUUUUUUCUUUUAAGACGACGUAUCGCCUCAGAUUAUCGAUCGUUUCGGUCGAGUAUCGGACCGAAGUCGCGAGACAUUAUUCUCGAAAUUUUUCAAACAGGACGAGAUCAGCCCUGUAUCAAUUCAGUCAUUUAUCAUCAACUGUUUGACGGUAUUCAAGGGACGUUUGGUGAUUGGCGAGGAAAGUUGAGGUUCCCAAAGACUCUUCCUCCAUCCUAAUAAAUCAAUAUUGACGUAGGGGCGUAUUUUAUAUUUUUCUUCUCUCCACCGUCUUCCCAGACAUUCCCAUCGAAUAUCACAUUCCAUCUGUAUCGCGUUUUUCCACACGGUCCACGGUAUUAUUACAUCCCAUCGGAGUAUCGAGCAAAUGGUUCUUUUUUUUCUUUCUUUCUUUCCUCUUCUUUUUUUUUUUUUCUUUUUUUUCGAAACGAGAAAUCUCGUCGAUAUUUUUUUUUCUUUUUCUUUUUUUCGAGACCCACGCUCGUUUCUUUUGUAUCCCCGAAUAUUCGCUCGUUUGUUAUUUCUGUUCUCGUUCGAAGGAAAAGAUAUCGUAAAUCGUUUAUAAACACGAACGGAACGAAUCGAAACAUUAAUCGACGACUCGUAUUCAUUUUCUUAAUCGCGGCGUAUAUAAACAUUCGGUGUAUAGAAACAUUCGUGUUUCGAUAUAAUUCAGUCGACGACGAGUUGCUCGCCGAACGAGAAUAGAAUUAUAUUAUACGGAGUAAUAAAUUUUUCUUCUUCUUUACGUAUCCAAUUGAGUAAUUAAUUUUCGGGCGAAGAAAAAUAGUGAAAGGGGAAAUGAAUCGUCCGCGACGAUUUUUAAUGCGUACUGUACUUUCAAGAGAGAGAGAGAGAGAGAGAGAGAGAGAGAGAGAGAGAGAGAGAGAGGAAGAACAGAUGAACUCGUUCGACGAGUAAAAGAGAAACGCUCGCCUAAUUCCAGUUAGCCAAACUUUCACGUUGUUCCGCAUAUAAUUUGCGAUUUCAUUACUUUCUCGUCUAACUUGGGCGAAAUUUGCAUUGGAGCCUGACGGUACGUUCAAUUAAACGGGCAGAAAUAUAUUUCUCUCUCCUUCCUUCCUUCCUUCCUUCCUUUGGACGAGAUCCGAACGCGCGGAUCAAUCCCGAAAACUUUGCCACGAAACUUCAUCAACAUAAAAUGAUAAUGAUUUCGAUUUCUAAAAUCUUCGACGAUUUGGAUAUUCGCCUCCCCUCUUUUCCCCCCCUCUCAGACGAAAAAGAAUUUUUCGAAAAAACCUUGUAAGCGGUCACGGAUCAUAAAUCUAACGUCUCUUUCGGAUUCGCGCAAUAUUGCUUCGAGCGUCGCGAUCCAUCUCCGACGUUCCAUUCGAAAACGGGCAUUCGUCACGAACGUAUUGAAAAAAACGUGUCAUCAAGACGAAGGAAAACGCAAAAUCUGUAAUCAAUAUCGGUCGUUUCUCGAAUAACACGUGGGGGGAGGGAAGAGGAGGAGAAAAAAAAAAAAA